rnacentral:tRNA from 1 species
UCUCUAGUGGCUCAGACGGUACAGAAUCUGCCUGCAAGGCAGGAAACCCAGGUCCGAUUCCUGGCUCAGGAA